rnacentral:siRNA from 1 species
UAGGUAAAUGUUGGUCAC